rnacentral:rRNA from 1 species
GACGAACGCUGGCGGCGUGCUUAACACAUGCAAGUCGAACGGAAAGGCCCUGCUUUUGUGGGGUGCCCGAGUGGCGAACGGGUGAGUAACACGUGAGUAACCUGCCCUUGACUUUGGGAUAACUUCAGGAAACUGGGGCUAAUACCGGAUAGGAGCUCCUGCUGCAUGGUGGGGGUUGGAAAGUUUCGGCGGUUGGGGAUGGACUCGCGGCUUAUCAGCUUGUUGGUGGGGUAGUGGCUUACCAAGGCUUUGACGGGUAGCCGGCCUGAGAGGGUGACCGGCCACAUUGGGACUGAGAUACGGCCCAGACUCCUACGGGAGGCAGCAGUGGGGAAUAUUGCACAAUAGGCGGAAGCCUGAUGCAGCAACGCCGCGUGCGGGAUGACGGCCUUCGGGUUGUAAACCGCUUUCGCCUGUGACGAAGCGUGAGUGACGGUAAUGGGUAAAGAAGCACCGGCUAACUACGUG